GACGAACGCUGGCGGCGUGCUUAACACAUGCAAGUCGAACGGAAAGGCCCUGCUUUUGUGGGGUGCCCGAGUGGCGAACGGGUGUGUAACACGGGAGUAACCUGCCCUUGACUUUGGGAUAACUUCAGGAAACUGGGGCUAAUACCGGAUAGGAGCUCCUGCUGCAUGGUGGGGGUUGGACAGUUUCGGCGGUUGGGGAUGGACGGGCGGCUUAUCAGCUUGUUGGGGGGGCAGUGGCUUACCAAGGCUUUGACGGGUAGCCGGCCUGAGAGGGUGACCGGCGACAUUGGGACUGCGAUACGGCCCAGAGUCGUACGGGAGGCAGCGGUGGGGAAUAUUGCACAAUGGGCGGAAGCCUGAUGCAGCAGCGCCGCGUGCGGGAAGACGGCCUUCGGGGUGUAAACCGCUUUCGCCUGUGACGAAGCGUGAGUGACGGUAAUGGGUAAAGAAGCACCGGCUAACUACGUG
rnacentral:rRNA from 1 species